GAUGCAGAAUCAGAAAGAGUGGUUCAAGAUGCAUUGGACAAGGUGAUGGUGAACAGAACAACCAUAGUGGUAGCUCAUAGAUUAAGUACUGUGAAAAAUGCUGAUAUAAUUGCAGUGGUAAAAAAUGGAGUGAUAGUUGAAAAAGGAAAGCAUGAUAGUUUGAUUAAUAUCAAAGAUGGAUUUUAUGCUUCCUUAGUUCAACUUCACACAAAUGCUUCAUCUUCAUCAGCAGCAUAAUCACCAUUUUCUUCAACCUAUGUUUUUCUUUUAUACAUACAUGUAUAAUCUUGUAUUUUUAUUUUGAAAGAGUGAAGAGUGUUAGUAAUUCUUUUUGUUUUUUAUUGGUGGGGGGGAUUUCUAAUGGAUUAUAUUAUCAAAUAUUGGUACUGCCCAAGUGAUGCAUCCAAAAAUACUCAACACAAGUUGUAUGGGUUAAGUUUAAUGUAGUGAAAGAGUGAGCUUAAUUCUUUGAAUUGUUGUGUUAGUUCAAUUAAAUACUACCCAAUGGACCAUUUAAUUAGGACAAACUGGGGAUUAAAAGGCAUCCUAAUUUCCCUUUUUCUUUACAAUAUUCAUAAUCAAAAACAUCUCAAUCACUUAUUAUCCUUGGAUUCUCUUUAGGUCUAUUAUUUUAUUUCUAUUAUGCAAUAUAAUAUAUAUUCAUUUACUUUAAGCAACCCAAAUAAUUCAAGGCUAAUCCUUAUAUUAAAAUUUAUGAAACAAAGCAAGUCGUAGAUGGCUCAUUUCUUUAAGUUUCUUCUUUCGUCAUAUAUAUGAGUUCCAAGUUUUCAAAAGUAGUGAAAAUAUUAAAUAGCCAAAAGAAAAUGUCCAAGUUGAGAAAAGAGAAAAAAAAAAUCUUAAGUAUGGUCCCAAAAUCUUUAUCAAAAACACGUGUUUAUGACUUAAAUAUUACAUUAGAUAACAUUAAGUUUCCUUUGCUCUUAAUCCAUAUGUCUUCAAAGAAAAUGUGAAGUGAUCUCUCUAUCUUUCCAAUCUUUGUUGUUUUGUUUAAAAAACUUUAUUCGAGAAAGAAAAAAAUUUCGAAAAGAUGAAGUGAAGCCGGUUUAGUACCGUACCAUUUAGUUUUUAGUGUUGAGUUUUUGAAAAUUAACUCUAUAAACAUUUAUUCCACUCUAAAUAUUUAGCUUCGUUUUCUACUCUUUACCAAUGUUUUCAACAAUAUAUAUUUUAAUUUUUUACCUAUGUCCCGAAAAGCAAAUCAAACCCAAAUUUGAAAACUAAAACAAAUAGUUUUCAAAACUCUUGUUUUUGUUUAGAAAAUAUAGACUUGACUUUAAAAAAUAAAAAGGAAAUUGGAAAAUUGGUUCCCAACCAAACCUAAAAGAGACAGUAUUGUUUUUAUUUUUAGAAAAUUGAAAAUUGAGCAAAAACCCAAUAAAUAUUAGUCUUUGGACAUUGAUUUUGGUUUGGGUUCAGUGCAUUUGGAUCUUUGCAUUUCUUAAUAUUCUAAGUUUGACUUUUGAAUAUGAAUUUUCAAUAAAACGAAGGUAAAAGGAAAGAAGAAAGAAGGAAGAAGAAAAGCUUUGUUGUUGGGAAUGAAGGAAAGAGGAGAUGGUAGGUUUUGUUGAGGAAAGUCCCAAAAGGGUUCUCUCUUUCUAAUUCUCUUUCAAAAGGAUAUAAUGGUGCUUUAACGUUCAUCUUUUAUCUUUUUGUUUUUUCAGGUAUUACUUUGCCUUUUGCCUUCACCUUCUUCUUCUUCCUUCUUCCUUUUCUUCUUUUCUCACCUUUCUUCUGGUUCUCAACCAUUUUUCCUCUUCCCAAUAUUAUGUUUUAAUUUGGUGCUGAUUUCUUUCAUGUGAAGAUUAUUAUUAUUUGAGCCUUUCUUCAUCUUAAAUCAUGCUUUUCAUCCUUUUUUCUCUCUUUUUAUCUUUUGCAUGUCAUCUCAACUUGUUGUUUUCUUCUUCUUUCUUCCAGAAUUUAUCAACUCUAAUCAUACUUUCUCUUUUGAUAGGAGAGAAAAGAAGUAAUAGUGUGAUUUUAGUACCAUGCAAAGCUGGAACUGUGUUUGACUUACAAUUGGAUUUCUAGUUCAAUUCAAUACUAUGCAUUACUAACACUUAAUUUAUCUUAAAUAUCUUAAAUGAAAGUUUGAAUUUAAAUUUAAACUGAGUAUAAGAACACAUUAUCAAUGAGUGUUGCCAUAAAAGACUUCAAAUUAAUCAAACAUCAAAACUAAAAGAUUACAUCUAUCAUGAUAAAUUGAGUUCAAUCACUCAUAAUCACCCAUAAAAUCCUAAACUAUCCUCAAAGUCCAAAAUAAAAAGAAAAUAAUAAGAAGAAGAAGAACAAUAAUAAUAAACUAAUAUCCUCAAAGUCCAAAAUAAUAAUAAUAAAACUACUGAAUAAAGGGAAAUAAUAAAAUCCUACUAGACGUUGACCAGAAAGAAAGUGUUUUUUCAAAAAUUAAUUUUCACUUAAACACUUUCUUAAAAAUUAAUUUUCCCUUGAACACUUUCUUAAAAGUUUUUAUGUUACAAGUUUGUUUCAUUUUCUGUCAAGAACCAUUGUUAAACAGUAUAAAGUAAUAAUGAAAGGAUAAUUGUAAUUGAUGGUCAUUUGAUGAAUAAUAAUUAAGAUUAUAAGAAUAUUUUUAAAAAAAAUUGCAAAUAUAACAAAACUAUCACGGAUAGACUUGAGUCAUUGAUAAACUCGUAUAAUCUAUAAGUGAUAUAUAAACCAAUAUUUACAAUAUGGUCUAUCGGUGAUAGAAUUUGAUAAAUUUUGCUAUAUUUGUAAAUUUUUACUUAAUUAUUUUGAAUCUAAUUGUUAAAUUUGCAACUAUAAAAAAUAUUUUUUGAUUGAGGUGAGUUUUUUCUUUUUUUGUUGUAUUAUUGAUUUCAUGGUUCAAAGACUAGUUUGAGUUUUUUGAGAAGACUCUUACCUAUUUCCAAAAGGCUUUAAAAAGUUUAAAUCCAAAUGGAUUGUUUUAAUACUCACCAUUCUCUUUGUGUGAUAUUUUCUUAGUGUAGUGUAGAGUUAAAAUUGAGGACACCAAAAAUGGAGAUAAAAAAUGGUGUAGAUGGAAACUCAAAUAAUACACAUCAACCAACCUCAUCAAGAGCCAACGAAACUGAGAAAAGCUCCAACAACAAUGAAAACCAACAAGAUUUUAACAACAAAAAUGGUGAUGGGAAGACGAAUUCAGUUCCAUUCUAUAAGUUAUUCUCAUUUGCAGAUUCAAACGAUGUUCUUUUGAUGAUCAUUGGCUCCAUUGGCGCCAUAGGGAAUGGACUCAGUCUACCCCUUAUGACUAUUGUGUUUGGAGAAUUGACAGAUUCAUUUGGUGUUAACCAAAGCAGCUCAAACAUAGUUAAAGUAGUUUCAAAGGUGAAACUAUAUGUUAUGAUUUAUGAAGAAUCCAUUUUUGUAUUCCUACACCAUGAACAAACUUCAUUUCAUUAACUUUGUUACCUCCUCAAAAUGUUGUGCAGGUCUGCCUUAAAUUUGUGUACUUAGGAAUUGGAUGUGGCGUAGCGGCUUUCAUCCGUAAGAAAUUUUUCGGUACCAAGUUUUAUUGAGUUCAAGAUAUAUAUUAUGGUUGUUUAAUUCUUUGUUUGUUUACAUGUAUCAGAGGUGUCUAGUUGGAUGGUUACAGGGGAGAGGCAAGCUUCAAGAAUAAGGGGUUUGUAUCUCAAAACUAUAUUGAGACAGGAUGUUUCUUUCUUUGACAUGGAAACGAACACCGGAGAGGUGGUCGAGAGGAUGUCAGGAGACACUGUUCUUAUACAAGAUGCAAUGGGGGAGAAGGUAACAACAUUUUAGUAUGAAAAUUAAGCUUAAAACCCCAUUACAUGUAUAUAUUCGUGAGUGAUAGUGUUUAAGAAAUUCUUAUCUUCUUCAUUCAGGUUGGAAAAUGUAUACAACUUGUAUCAACAUUCUUUGGAGGCUUUAUAAUAGCUUUCAUUAAAGGGUGGCUUUUAACACUGGUCAUGUUAUCCUCCUUUCCUCUCCUUGUGAUUUUUGGGGGUAUUACGUCGAUCAUUGUUACGAAAAUGGCAUAUCGUGGUCAAAAUGCUUAUGCAAAAGCAGCCGACGUCGUUGAGCAAACAAUCAGCUCAAUUAGAACUGUAUGUUAUAUAUUGUCCAAACAUCAUAGUUUAUUUUUUUGGAUUAUUUGUUUUGUUAUGACAGAAACAAAUCGACAAGCAAGAAACACGAACAGUGUAGAAAUAGCACAUGGCUUACAAACAAUGUGUUAGCUAUAUGGUACUCAAACAUGUUCUUUAGGACUUCUUACUCUUGAAGUUGAUACUUUAAUUCUUUGUAGGUUGUCUCAUUUACCGGUGAGAAACAAGCUGUGACAAAUUAUAAAAAAUUUCUUGUAAAUGCUUAUCGAUCGGGUGUUCACGAAGGUUUGGCCGUGGGAAUCGGUUUUGGCACUGUUUCAGCAGUACUUCUCUUCAGCGAUUCAUUGGCUAUAUGGUAUGGUGCAAAGUUGAUACUGGAUAAAGGAUACACCGGAGGCGAAGUUCUGAACGUGCUCAUUGCCGUAAUAACUGGUUCCAUGUGGGCUUUAUUUGCAUUUCUUUCACUACGUACACAUUACAAAGUUUAUCAGCUGAAUUCCCUUUUAAUAUAUACUUGCUUUGUGCUCAAUGUUUCUAUCAGGUCUUUGGGCCAAGCAUCUCCAUGCCUAAGUGCAUUUGCUGCUGGCCGAGCUGCAGCCUUUAAAAUGUUUGAAACAAUCAAGAGGAAGCCGCUAAUCGAUGCUUACGACAUGGAAGGAAAGAUAUUAGACGACAUUUCGGGCGACAUAGAAUUGAGAGAUAUUCAUUUUAGCUAUCCUACUAGACCAAAUGAGCAGAUUUUCAAUGGGUUUUCCCUAAAAAUUCCGAGUGGGACGACUGCUGCUUUGGUUGGACAAAGUGGAAGUGGGAAAUCAACUGUGAUAAGUUUGAUUGAGAGAUUCUAUGAUCCAAGUAUGGGUGAAGUUCUUAUUGAUGGCAUCAACCUCAAAGAGUUUCAACUAAAAUGGAUUAGAAUCAAAAUUGGUCUUGUCAGCCAAGAACCUGUGUUGUUUGCAUCUAGCAUAAUGGAUAACAUCGCUUACGGAAAAGAUGGCGCAACCAUGGAAGAGAUAAAAAUAGCAGCUGAACUUGCCAAUGCUUCGAAAUUUAUCGACAAAUUACCUCAGGUAUCAAAAUUCGCUCCGAGAGUUUAAUGCAUUAAUAGUAGUAUUUCUUAUGUUAUUCUAAUAUAUAGAGCUAAAAUUGCGUCCAGGGACUGAACACACUUGUUGGUGCACAUGGAACUCAACUUUCUGGUGGUCAAAAGCAAAGAGUUGCCAUUGCUAGAGCAAUUUUGAAAGAUCCGAGAAUUUUGCUUCUAGAUGAAGCUACAAGUGCACUUGAUGCUGAAUCCGAGCAUGUUGUGCAAGAAGCAUUGGACCGAAUCAUGGUUAAUCGAACUACGGUAAUCGUUGCUCAUCGUCUUAGCACAGUAAGAAAUGCAGAUAUGAUUGCUGUCAUUCAUAAAGGAAAGUUGGUUGAAAAAGGUACUAAGAAGUUUUUUCUUUUCAACUUUUUUUGUUCUAUCGCUCCCACCCAUAUUGCUUCCCCAGUGAGUCGAUUAUUAUCUCAUAGUUCAGUCGGUUUGAUUAGUUAAACUAAUUUCUACAGCAAGAAGUUUCAUAACAGUUCGCUUUUGUAAGGUCAAGUUUUAGACAAAAAAAAACUGAUAAUUGUUCUUCAGAACAUUUUUGGUCUCUAAGUCGUCUACUAAUUGACUUUGUUUGAUCCAUUAGGCUCUCACACAGAACUACUUAAGGAUCCUGAAGGACCAUACUCACAACUUAUUAGGCUGCAAGAAGUCAACCAAGAGUCCCAAGAAGCAGGAAUUGAUAAAGUUAAACAAGAAAGUAAAUCGGGAUCGUUUAGACGAUAUAGCAAAGGAGCACCGAUGACACGGUCCCUUAGCAGAGAAUCAUCUGGAGUAGGAAACAGCAGCCGCCACUCUUUUUCAGUUUCUUUUGGUUUACCUGCAGGGGUUCCUAUCACAGAUGUUCCUAUUGCAGAUGAAAGUGCAUCUGUCGACACCAAAGAACGAUCACCACCAGUCCCACUUCGUCGACUUGUAUUCCUCAAUAAGCCUGAAAUUCCCAUACUUGUACUUGGAUCUAUGGCUGCCAUCAUCAAUGGGGUCAUUCUUCCAAUUUUCGGCUUACUAUUUGCCAAUGCGAUCGAAACAUUUUACAAACCACCGGAUAAAGUAAAAAAAGAAUCGAAAUUUUGGGCAAUGAUAUUGAUGUUCCUUGGUAUAGCAUCAUUACUGGCUGCUCCAGCGAAAACAUACUUCUUUUCUGUGGCGGGUUGCAAGUUAAUACAACGGAUUAGAUUGCUUUGUUUUCAAAACAUAGUUAACAUGGAGGUUGGUUGGUUUGAUAGGACUGAAAAUUCUAGCGGUUCAAUAGGUGCAAGGCUCUCGGCAAAUGCUGCAACUGUACGUUCGUUGGUCGGGGAUGCGCUAAGUCAACUUGUCGAGAGUCUAGCAACAGUUACAGCUGGUUUAGUCAUUGCUUUUGUUGCAAGUUGGCAGUUGGCUUUGAUAGUCCUAGCCAUGUUUCCACUUCUUGGUCUCAACGGCUUUGUCCAAAUGAAGUUUUUGAAAGGAUUUAGUGCAGAUGCAAAGGUAGAAUCUAAAACUAACGAAUAUAUAGGUUGAAGUGUUACUAUAACUAUUCAUUGACAUUGUUUAUUGCUUGGCAGUUGAUGUACGAACAAGCCAGCCAGGUUGCUACCGAUGCGGUGGGGAGUAUAAGAACAGUUGCAUCAUUUUGUGCAGAAGAAAAGGUGAUGCUACUUUAUAAAAAGAAAUGUGAAGGUCCGAUGAAGGCAGGAAUAAGACAAGGUUUGAUCAGUGGGACUGGAUUUGGAGUAUCAUUCUUUUUAUUGUUUUCAGUCUAUGCUGCAACAUUCUUUGCUGGUGCUCAUUUCGUUCAAGAUGGCAAAGCCACUUUCUCCGACGUUUUUCAAGUAAGUAUCUGUUGAACUGAUGAUCAUUUCUUUUAACUUUCGUAAUCGACUACACAACCCUUGUUUAUUAGUUUCUAGUUAGUAAUCAUAAAUGUCAUUGACAGGUUUUCUUUGCUUUGACAAUGGCUGCUUUUGCCAUUUCUCAAUCAAGCUCACUUGCACCUGAUUCUACCAAGGCAAAAGAAGCCACUGCUUCCAUAUUUUCCAUGAUUGAUCGUAAAUCAGAAAUUGACCCGAGUGUUGAAACAGGUGAAAUGUAUGAAAAUUUGAAAGGUGAAAUCGAGUUUCGGCAUGUAAGCUUCAAGUAUCCUUCUAGACCAGAUGUUCAAAUUCUUCGAGACCUCAGCUUGACCAUUCGAUCUGGGAAGGUAUUUGAUUUUUUUUAUUUUUCUUUUCUUAUUACUUUAAAUUUCCUUUGAAAAAAACUAAACACAAGUUUUCAUUUUGGUUUCCCAUGUGCUUUUUCUUUUAGACUAUUGCUUUGGUUGGAGAAAGUGGUUGUGGAAAAUCCACUGUUAUCUCUCUUUUACAAAGGUUUUAUGAUCCCGAUUCGGGUAGUAUAACACUCGAUGGAAUUGAGAUUCACAAGUUUCAAGUCAAAUGGUUGAGACAACAAAUGGGAUUAGUGAGCCAAGAACCAGUCCUUUUCAAUGACACAAUUCGCUCUAACAUAGCAUACGGGAAGGGAGGAGAUGCAACUGAGGCUGAAAUAAUUGCUGCAGCUGAAUUAUCCAAUGCUCACAAGUUCAUCAGUAGUUUGCAUCAGGUGAGAAAAAUGAAUACUUUUGUCGUUCAUCAUCAUAUAACUUCAUAUAUGUAAUUAUCAUACUUUUUCACAACUAGAACACUACUUGAUUGAGAAAAAAAUAACACCACAAAGAGUUUAAACACAGGACAUUCAUUAACUAUUUUAACAAACUCAUGAAUGCAAAAUGAGCAGGGCUAUGACUCGAUGGUGGGAGAGAGAGGAGCUCAGCUAUCAGGAGGGCAGAAGCAGCGAGUAGCGAUUGCACGAGCGAUAAUCAAGAGGCCGAAGAUUUUGUUGUUUGAUGAGGCAACAAGUGCACUUGAUGCGGAAUCAGAAAGAGUGGUUCAAGAUGCAUUAGACAAGGUGAUGGUGAACAGAACAACUAUAGUGAUAGCUCAUAGAUUAAGUACUGUGAAAAAUGCUGAUAUAAUUGCGGUGGUAAAAAAUGGAGUGAUAGUUGAAAAAGGAAAGCAUGAUACUUUGAUUAAUAUCAAAGAUGGAUUUUAUGCUUCCUUAGUUCACCUUCACACAAAUGCUUCAUCUUCAUCAGCAGCUUAAUCACCAUUUUCCUACAAUUAUCAUUUCUCUUUUAUACAUAUAUACAUGUAUAGUUUAGUUUUUUUUUUUUUUUUGUUCUUUUGAAA
rnacentral:lncRNA from 1 species